GAAAAGUUAGUUAAUUUAUUUAUAACAUAAAAUUGUCAAUUUUAAAUUACUAUUACAUAGUACUUUUCU
rnacentral:tRNA from 1 species